AUUGAACGCUGGCGGCAGGCCUAACACAUGCAAGUCGAGCGGAUGAAGGGAGCUUGCUCCUGGAUUCAGCGGCGGACGGGUGAGUAAUGCCUAGGAAUCUGCCUUGUAGUUGGGGAUAACGUCCGGAAACGGGCGCUAAUACCGCAUCCGUCCUGAUGGAGAAAGUGGGGGAUCUUCGGACCUCACGCUAUAAGAUGACCCUAGGUCGGAUUAGCUAGUUGGUGGGGUAAAGGCUUACCAAGGCGACGAUCCGUAACUGCUCUGAGAGGAUGAUCAGUCACACUGGAACUGAGACACGGUCCAGACUCCUACGGGAGGCAGCAGUGGGGAAUAUUGGGCAAUGGGCGAAAGCCUGAUCCAGCCAUGCCGCGUGUGUGAAGAAGGUCUUCGGAUUGUAAAGCACUUUAAGUUGGGAGGAAGGGCAGUAAGUUAAUACCUUGCUGUUUUGACGUUACCUAAAGAAUAAGCACCGGCUAACUUCGUG
rnacentral:rRNA from 1 species